ensembl:lncRNA
UAGUGAGUAACAUUGUUAAUCCCUGUAGUAUCUCAGCACUAUGUCCUAGUGAGUAACAUUGUUAAUCCCUGUAAUAUCUCAGCACUAUGUCCUAGUGAGUAACAUUGAUAAUCCCUGUAAUAUCUCAGCACUAUGUCCUAGUGAGUAACAUUGUUAAUCCCUGUAAUAUCUCAGCACUAUGUCCUAGUGAGUAACAUUGAUAAUCCCUGUAAUAUCUCAGCACUAUGUCCUAGUGAGUAACAUUGUUAAUCCCUGUAAUAUCUCAGCACUAUGUUCUAGUGUGUUAGUGGUGAGUAACAUUGAUAAUCCCUGUAAUAUCUCAGCACUAUGUUCUAGCGUGUUAGUAGUGAGUAACAUUGUUAAUCCCUGUAAUAUCUCAGCACUAUGUCCUAGUGAGUUACUCAGUAACAUUGAUAAUCCCUGUAAUAUCUCAGCACUAUGUUCUAGCGUGUUAGUGGUGAGUAACAUUGUUAAUCCCUGUAAUAUCUCAGCACUAUGUCCUAGUGUGUUACUCAGUAACAUUGAUAAUCCCUGUAGUAUCUCAGCACUAUGUCCUAGUGAGUAACAUUGUUAAUCCCUGUAAUAUCUCAGCACUAUGUUCUAGUGAGUAACAUUGUUAAUCCCUGUAAUAUCUCAACACUAUGUCCUAGUGUGUUACUCAGUAACAUUGAUAAUCCCUGUAAUAUCUCAGCACUAUGUCCUAGUGAGUAACAUUGUUAAUCCCUGUAAUAUCUCAGCACUAUGUCCUAGUGAGUAACAUUGAUAAUCCCUGUAAUAUCUCAGCACUAUGUUCUAGCGUGUUAGUAGUGAGUAACAUUGUUAAUCCCUGUAAUAUCUCAGCACUAUGUCCUAGUGUGUUACUCAGUAACAUUGAUAAUCCCUGUAAUAUCUCAGCACUAUGUUCUAGUGUGUUAGUGGUGAGUAACAUUGUUAAUCCCUGUAAUAUCUCAGGGAUUGUUCAUAGUGAGUAACAUUGUUAAUCCCUGUAAUAUCUCAGCACUAUGUUCUAGUGUGUUAGUAGUGAGUAACAUUGAUAAUCCCUGUAAUAUCUGAUAACAUAAUGCGUCUGGAUUGCAGGUGGUAUUUCACAUUUCAGUCGGUCAACAUCAGUGAUGUUUAGCAUUAAAAUGCACAACAGUAUAGAACAACACAUAUUUAUCUGGGGUAAAGAACCGUCACGUCAUCAU